CUGAAUUCCCCUACAUUCUCUGGGGCUGAGGUCACUGAAUAUCCCCAGCCUUUCCUGCCAGGACAAUGUGCUAGUCCAGGGGCAUUAGGUGGGCAGCUAGUUAUCUGUGUACUACCCACAGGUACCCUGGGAAGGGGAGGGUAAGUAACUUCUGCAGGAGCCCAAGGAAGCAAGUAGAGCCUACCUGGCUAGCUGCAGGGCCAGCACCCUGGAAGGCCCCCUGCUGUGCUAGCUCUGGUGGGGGCAGACGCUCCCCAGAGCCCUCCUCCCACCGCUGUGGGGAGGCUGCGGUCCUGUCCAGUUCCAGGGAACGGGGGAGGGAGGGAGGGAGAAGAAGGGGCAGGCCUGCCCCGACAAGUUUCAACUUGAAUGUGGAAAGAGCGCUCACUGGAGCAUGGAGAAAGCGGGGAAGGACUGCCCAUCGGCAGAGCAUCUCUUUGAUCAUCUUUCGAGGUGCUUUUGGUCCCUUUUUUUUUUUAACAGAAGGUGAAACCGGCCCAGAGAGGUUAUAGAACUUUCCUCAGGUCACCCAGUAAGUGGGGGGAGUCAGAAAUUCCACCCAGAACCCUCUGACUGUAAAACCUGGGCCCAGUCUGUUCCUCUUUGCUGCCCGGGAAAGGUCUGGUAUGGCUCAGGAGGAAAUGUCUGCCGUCAACCCUGUGAUUCCCCUGUCGUUCGGUGCUGGCCUCCCUUGCUCCCUCCGAGACUUGGCACGUGCCUGAAAUCUCCACUAGAAAACAAUGCGGAGAGGAAACGGCCAGACUUCUCUGUUUCCACCCCAGGGCUCUCCUUCUGGGCUCUCAGCCCUCCUCGCACAGACAGCACGGGGCGAGCCCUGCAGCGCCAGGCCGGGUGAUCUCAGCGCGCUGGGCAUCGCCCCCAGUUCCUGCUUUUGCAAGUCUCCUUUGGUCAUUUUUGACAGAGUGAAAACCAACCUCUGAAAUCUAGCCCGUGUGGUUGGUUCACUUUGAUAAAGCUGUGGGAUCUAGGCCCCCAUGAUGUCACCUCCCUGCCUCCCAAGGGAUGCUAGAUGCUGUCCCUGCCCCCUUAGCCCUUCUCAGAUCUCUCCGCACAGAGGAGGGCGAGUCCUCCUUAUCUCCCCUGGUUGGUCUCGGUAUUUCUCAUGCUCUCUGACACUCCCGCCACCUUGGGGUGCUACUCCUCCCCCUCAACACCUCACAGCUUGAAGGUGAUGAGAAACUUUCAGUCACAGUGGCCUUGGCUGAUGUUGCUGUUCUGCGAAACUGGUUUUGCUCCAAGGAGAAGACCAAGGCCCAGCUUGUGACGUUGUCCCUCCGCCAUGGCCAGGUGGGGCAAAUUUCAUCUCCUUGAACUUGGAUGGACCUUGAACUUGACCAGCCGAGUGCUGUGGAAGUGCUGCUGAGUAACUUUGGAGACUAGAUCAUGAAAGGUGAUAUGGUUUCUGCUUGUCUCUCUGACCACAUCUCUGAGAGCCCAGAGCCAACACGCAAGAAGUCGAGGUGCCCUCAGGCUGCCGUGCGGACAGGCCACGGGGCACUGCUGAGGGUGUCUGAGGAGCAGCCCCCUGUGGUUCCCCUGGCCCAGGCAGCAGACACGUGAGUGUAGCACCCUUCAGAUGGCCCAGCCGCCUGCCGGGGUUAUAAUCCCGUGAGAGGCCGCCCAGCCAGAAUCACCUGGUCCAGCAGCCUCCAAAUUCAUGACUCUUAGAAACUCAGAGAGAUAACAAAUGAAUACUAUUGUUUUAA